rnacentral:rRNA from 1 species
GACGAACGCUGGCGGCGUGCUUAACACAUGCAAGUCGAACGGAAAGGCCCUGCUUGCAGGGUCCUCGAGUGGCGAACGGGUGAGUAACACGUGGGUGAUCUGCCCUGCACUUCGGGAUAAGCCUGGGAAACUGGGUCUAAUACCGGAUAGGAGCCAUUUUUAGUGUGAUGGUUGGAAAGUUUUUUCGGUGUAGGAUGAGCUCGCGGCCUAUCAGCUUGUUGGUGGGGUAAUGGCCUACCAAGGCGGCGACGGGUAGCCGGCCUGAGAGGGUGGACGGCCACAUUGGGACCGAGGUGAGGCCCAGACGCCGACUGUAGGCAGCAGUGGGGAAUAUUGCACAAUCGGCGCAAGCCGGAUGCAGCGGCGCCGCGUGGGGGAUGACGGCCUUCGGGUUGUAAACUCCUUUCGCUAGGGACGAAGCUUUUUGUGACGGUACCUAGAUAAGAAGCACCGGCUAACUACGUG